rnacentral:rRNA from 1 species
UACGGGGGGAGCAAGCGUUGUUCGGAUUUACUGGGCGUAAAGGGCGCGUAGGCGGUAGCACAAGUCAGUUGUGAAAUCUCCGGGCUUAACUCUGAAAGGUCAACUGAUACUGUGCGACUAGAGUGCGGAAGGGGCAACUGGAAUUCUCGGUGUAGCGGUGAAAUGCGUAGAUAUCGAGAGGAACACCUGCGGCGAAGGCGGGUUGCUGGGCCGACACUGACGCUGAUGCGCGAAAGCCAGGGGAGCGAACGGG